rnacentral:lncRNA from 1 species
GUAAAGUAGUGACUGAUAGGAAGUUUUUUUACCUAGUGGGUGACAAAGUUGCUAGGCCCUAAGGAAGAAUAAGAGGCUGAAAGAUGGAGCAUCUCUCCUUAGAAAUUCUAGAGACUGGCAUGGAGGUUGGGAAGUACUUGUGCAGAGGAUAAAACAAAGAUCCUAUUGCAUGAACCUGAGACUGCUGAUUAGCCAUUUAGCUGAUGGACUCAUGAUCUCCGGAAUGUGUGAGUCAGGAGCAAACCUAGCAGUCCUCAGAGGCUGACAAGAUAUGGGAGCAGGGGGUAAGGAGGAGUAAAAUAGCCAUGUCCUGGUUUAAUGAAUUCGAAAUCUAAGGAAUACGGGAUGAAAAAUCAAUUUGGAAGGAAAAUAUAUUAGACUUGAUUUUAGAAAGUAAUGUGGCGACAGAAUAUUUCAGUUAUGUAAUCAUGAGUUGAGCUGGCGCUAUGGAAACAACCCACAGGUGAGGACUGAAACAUGGUCUGAGGGUAUUACGGUCACAAUGUCUUUGGCCAAACCUCGUAGAAGUGAAAAUUCUCUAAGAAAAUGAUUCUGAGUAGGAGGGAUGCAGACUGAGUCUAAAUCUCAGGGCCACAGGUAGGAAAGAAAGAUGGGAAGAUGAGGACCCCACCUGGGUCUCUGGAAGGAGGAUUAAGGGUGUCGUGUUUGUCAAAGUUGCUCAGAAAGUUUUUCUCAAGACAGGCGAUCCAGGUGAAAUGACACUCCUGACAUAGGCAAGGAAGGGCCAAAUGAGAUGGCGUCAAUUUACUUUGAAAGUGCUUUUCCUUCGGAAAAGGGUCACAUGUGUUCAGUAAAGGAUUGUGUAUGGGGAUUAACAAAAGAAUACAAAUAAUCAGCCUGUUGUAAAUACUAUUCCACACAUACAUUUCUCCCAGUGUGUAUGUGUACAUAAAAAUAUAAUUUUAUAGUUAGUAAAUGUGUACAGAUAUGCAGACACAAAUGUGUUAGGAGGUUGUCUGGACAGGCACUGUGAGGCUAAGAUGCUAUAAAGCAAAGCAGACAGGAUACAUUAUUCUGCAAAAGGUGGCACUUGCCAUCAGCUCAUUGCCAUUGGCAGUACAAUGUGUGCUGAGAAGUCAAUCAGAUUUUUGCUUCCAUUUUCUUAUCUGACAUCACCAGAGAGGAACCUGAGAAACCAGUCAUGAUCCUCAGCCACACUCUGAGAUGGCCACUCAGACAUCUAAGGACAAGCCAUCUGUCUAUGCUUAGCUUCUUAGUCGGUGCAGUGGAGUCUAAGGAGGGCGGGUUGAAGCUUCCAGGCCAAUCCUCUAUAUGAUUUGAGGGUUGACUUCACAGAUUUGAGUUGUAUAAAAACACCUGGCCGUGUUCUCACCCAUAGCUGACUCACACAUGGUGAGUGUCAGACUUAAUAGGAUCCAGACUGAGGAGAUUUUUAAAAUAUCUCUAUGCUUUUAAAACAAUCCAUACUGGUUUCAGUUCAGCCUCCUAAUUAGAAUGAAACCUCUUCUACACAUCUGUUUUGCAACCCUGAAUAACAUCCUUUGGUCUUCUACAAUAGAGGAGUCAGUGAGCUCUGAGGUAUGUUGUCCUAUGCUUUGGGUAAAAGUAUUGUUAGAAAGAGACUGGGUGGCCCAGCCUCAUUAGUGUGGCUGUCCCAGAAGCUCCAAGUCCAGGCUAAGAAAAGUGGUCCCUUUGCUUGGUUUAGGUAAUUCCCUGGCUAUUACCAGAGGCUAUGUGAUCCUGAGACCCACGGAUGUGCUAAGAGGACUUUUGGAUUCCAGCCCAGUGUUUUUUAAAAAAAUAUAUGUUUUAAUGCUUUAUAUGGCCCCUACUGCCAAGUCCAAACAAAAUAAAAGCAAGCACAGAAAAUAGAGCCAGAGAAAGAAGAAAAGGGGAGUAAACAAGAAGAGGGAGAAAAGAGAUAAGAGAAAGAACUGAGGGAUAGAAAAAAGGAAAAGUGGGAGGAAAGGGGAAGAAGGGGGAGGAAGGAAGAGAUGGAGAGGAAAGGAAGAAGAAAGGGAGGGAGGAGACUAGGGAGGAGGAUGGGAGGUGAAGGAGGGCAGGAUGCGAGGAGUCCAGGAGGGUAAAGGAUUUGAUUCAAGAGAAACAGAUGGCUGAUCUGGAGGGGGAGGGGAGGCUGUCUGCAGGCACUCAUCUGAACAAAAUCCAACUUCCUACAGGCAGCUGCCUGGAGCCCUAUCCAUCAUCCACAUUCAGGUUCCCACGAUCAAUGCCACAGUCAGUCAUUGGCCAUCCUUGAAACACCAGAAUCAUUAUGAACAAACACCAGAGACUCACAGAUUGAAUUCCUCUUACUGCUCCAGAGGCCAGCAAUGCCAAACAUACAGGAUGCACAAAAAUUGCUUUAUGAGAUUGCUGAUUCUCUGAGACCAGCUACAUCCUUUUCUUGAAUCUUAUCUUUCUCAUCUACUUCUCUGACUCCAGAGCUUUUCUAUAAUAAUGUUUUGAGCUGAAAGUACACUAUAUUUCAGAUCUCCCUUUAAUAUUUUGGUUAAGAUGAAAAUCAUGUCUCUCAAGAGGGAGAAUAUCCAAAUUUGAAUCUUGACCUUUAUUUGGAUUCCCGGAGUAACUUUGUGAAAACUCUCUUAUUCUCCCAUUCCCCAUUCCAUUAUUUAUAAAAUAAAACUGUCUUAUACCUAA